rnacentral:rRNA from 1 species
UACGUAAGGGGCAAGCGUUGUCCGGAAUGACUGGGCGUAAAGGGUGCGUAGGUGGUAUUUUAAGUCAGAUGUGAAAGGCUCCUGCUCAACGGGAGAGUUGCAUUUGAAACUGGGGUACUUGAGUGCAGGAGGGGGAAGCGGAAUUCCUGGUGUAGCGGUGAAAUGCGUAGAGAUCAGGAGGAACACCGGUGGCGAAGGCGGCUUUCUAGACUGUAACUGACACUGAGGCACGAAAGCGUGGGGAGCAAACAGGAUUAGAUACCCUGGUAGUCCACGCGGUAAACGAUGGAUACUAGGUGUGGGGGAGAUGACUUCUCCGUGCCGCAGUUAACGCAAUAAGUAUCCCGCCUGGGGAGUACGGCCGCAAGGUUGAA